rnacentral:lncRNA from 1 species
UGGUUUUUUGAAAAAUUCUGGUCCCCCUCCCCCUACUUCGAUUAUAAGGAAACUAAUUUCACUUACGAUGGUGACAAAUCCAUCGGAGACUGUGACGGCAACGAAUCCAUCGGCUACGGAGAUUACAACGAAACUAGUUCCACCGACAAUAGCGACGAAUCCAUCGGCGACGGCUAAAAAUCCACCUGCUACGGCUCCAUCGAUGACGGAGGCAUCCCAAGUUUGGUUUCUAAUUUGACCAAUUUGGAUCUGGGUGUUAUUCUUCCCUAAGUUUCAACCUAAUGUUGCAGUCGAGACAGCAUUGCGGUAGGGAGAGAGGAUCGAAUCUGGCAGCGCGAGAGGGAGUAGCAAUUUCGUCCCCUGUUCUCGGUAGGUUAUUAGGUUGUUAGCUGUAGAUCGUCUCCUUACAUUUUUCUCAUUGAAUUUUCCAGUUUUUAGGUAAUCCCAGGUUGUUGUACUUUGAUUUUGGGUGAACUAGUGUUUGUGUCUUCGGUUUGGCUAUACUAGUUUUAAAUUAGCAGUCAUUAUGUUCUCAAUGUUGUUUGAGAUAAGGAAAUUGUUUGCUAAGAAUGGUGAACUAAUUUUAUAUUAGCAGCCAUUAUGAUUGACAUUGUUUGGUAAGAAUGGUAAACUAGUUCGUGUCGUAUUUGUCUUUUUGUUGAACUAGUUUUGUUUGUUUCUUGGUUUCGGUAGCGGUAAGGCUUUUAUUUGUAGUUUUUUCUUAUCAUUGUUUGAUUUUAAGAACUACUUUAGUGUGAUUUGGAUGUCGGUUCGGAACAGUCGAACUAGUUAAAAUUGUAUUCUAAAUUAAGUAAUGGCUUGAACUUGGAUUGUCAAUUCUAUAAUGCAGUUGUUUAACUUCUGCUUCCAGACAUUUUGGGCAGUGAAAAUGGCUGAGGUUGGUAAGCAAGCAUCCCUUGCGACCCGAUGCAGCUCGAACCUAAUUUUGCAGUGAUGGGUAUUCUUCCAAGCAAUGAACAAUUGGAAGCCAUAAAGAAACUUGACUUCCAUGGAAUUACAGCUGUAAAGAUAAAACAAAUCAGCUGAGAUUUCAUGCAUUAGAUUAUGAAUACAUAUGAUAUAUAACCAAAACAAUUUGUGAUUUGAAACAAAAAGACAUUGAAGAUAACUGAAGAAGAUGUCCAUAGUGUUUAUGGUUUACCGCGAGGAGUCAAAGAAGUCAGUGUGGAAGGGUGUGCAGUUCAUAAAAUUAAGUCUGAAGCUGCGAAGUUGAUGCUUGUAGUUGGGAAAUAGACAUUUUUGUGUGGAAACCAUUGAUUUGGAAUGUGAUUUGGCUGAACUAAUUUGGGUUGUUUGGGAUUUCAGGUAGUUUGUUGUCAUUGUAUUCAUCCUGGUAUUUGGGUUCUUCAAGAUGAAUUGGUGAACUAGUUUGAUUUCUUUGGGAUAUUUUGAGGUAAUGGUGAACUAGUAUGAGUUUUUGUGAUAUCAAGCAUAGUUGAUGUAGUAGUGGAUUGGUUCAUGUGGAAAUCAGGGUGUAAUGGCGAACUAGUUCUGUGUAAUAUGAUUUCAAGUUUAAUUUGGGUGUAAUGGCGAACUAAUUCUGUGUACUAUGAUUUCAAGUUGAAUUUGGGUGUAGUGGCGAACUAGUUAUGUAUAUAAUAGAUUUCAAGUUGAAUUUGGG